rnacentral:rRNA from 1 species
GACGAACGCUGGCGGCGUGCUUAACACAUGCGAGUCGAACGGAAAGGCCCUGCUUUUGUGGGGUGCUCGAGUGGCGAACGGGUGAGUAACACGUGAGUAACCUGCCCUUGACUUUGGGAUAACUUCAGGAAACUGGGGCUAAUACCGGAUAGGAGCUCCUGCUGCAUGGUGGGGGUUGGAAAGUUUCGGCGGUUGGGGAUGGACUCGCGGCUUAUCAGCUUGUUGGUGGGGUAGUGGCUUACCAAGGCUUUGACGGGUAGCCGGCCUGAGAGGGUGACCGGCCACAUUGGGACAUAGUUACGGCCCGGAGUCCUACGGGAGGCGGCAGUGGGGAAUAGUGCACAAUGGGCGGAAGCCUGAUGCAGCAACGCCGCGUGCGGGAUGACGGCCUUCGGUUGUGAAACCGCUUUCGCCUGUUACGAAGCGUGAGUGACGGUAAUGGGUAAAGAAGCACGGGCUAACUACGUG